CGAAAAGGAGAAAAUGCGUCGCAGCGCAUCGAGCCAGAGGGAAAGGGCAAAUGCGAGGGCGGCAAGAGGGCGAGAAGGGUUGUGCAGGAGGGCGGGAACGGGGACGCGCCGGGGAGAGAGAGAGAGAGAGAGAGAGAGAGAGAGAGAGGAAGAGAGAGACAAUCGCGGACAUGGCGCGACGCGUCAUUGCACGUGCACGUGCAUUGAUACCGAUAUUUAUGCCCGCCAGUUAAUCAUGUCAAAGUCGUUUGAUUUGUCGUUGGCUUUUAUGGAGGGGAAUUAAAACGUUCAUUUCGCCACAGACACUCGCCAACAGUGACUGUCCUGCUGGUGCCGCUACUGGCCGUAUGAGUUAUUCUGUCGGCAGCCUUCAGGCCGAGCGGUGGGGAUGAGCUUUUUGUAAAAUUAGCGUGCCUCGUUUACGCCGGCGAAUUUGCAUUUUUAACGCGAGCCAGCGUGUCGGCCGGCCUUUUUUUUUUACCCGCCACGGCAGAAUCGUCAAAUCGGACACGCUGUUGACGGACCGUAUAAAUAGCAAAUCUGUAUUCCCUCGUGAUUUCAAUUGGCCAUGCGAUUUUGAACGCCGCAUUUACGCAGAAUACUUUCCGCAACGAAACUAUAACGAGGUCCAGAUAUUUCUAACCGUGGGACUGAGUAUAAAAUACAAAUAAUGUGUUCCAUAUGCCUAAAAUAGGACAUUUACAUUAAAAAUUGAGUUGCCGUCUCUAGCGUCCAUCAAUACCGGUGAAUAGUUUAUUCGCGUCGAUAUGCGAGAAUGUAUUGGAGAGUUUUUUGGAGUUCCCAUACACAGGAGAGAAACAUACGUUGUAGCUUUAUUCAAUCCAUUUUGCUCGGCAAAGUUCUUUCUCCUUGUCUAAAAAAAGAUCGAGCGAAGAGAAACGCUUUGAUGAAAGGCUCACGUACGAGCAGUAUCGUUGCAUGGACCUUGUAAUAUACAUAAAGCUUUAUUGCUUGCCAUCCGUGGAAACUUCGCUGAUUGUAUUGCAGGACGAUAACCGUAUCUGUCGUUCCCGCAAUUCUCGAAGCGCACUUGAUCCAUCCCCGUCUUUGACUCCUCUACUUUUAUCCUCCUUUCACUUGCUUCUCUAUUCUACCGGCAUGCCACGAUACUGCGAUUUGUAAUUUGAUGUUACGAUAAAAAUAGUAUGCCCUCUGAAAUUUAUACGCAUUCGCUGUGUAACACAAUUUUAUUUUAUUUUCACAAAAUGUGUGUGUGUUUUUUUUUUUUUUUUUUUUUUUUUUAAAUUAAAGUAAAAGUGUUAGUUUGUAAGCUUGCAAUUUUUUUUAUUUUAGAUUUCUUUGGUGGUAAUCGUAUAGCAAUCGUAUUAACACGUUUCUUCAGUGUCGUGGUAUUGCCUUCCGUGCGAGACAUGACUGUUAUAUUUGUGAAAAAACAAAUUGCAUAAUUAUUUCAAAAUUCCCAAAAAUAUUAUUAUAGAAAAAAAUCUAAAUUGCAAUAUAGAAUAAGGUAAAAAUAUUUCAAUAAAUAUUUAUUCAAUAAAACUUUAACAAAAAUAUAACAAAAUAAACAACACACAAAACAUACACGUUUAUUAUUAUAUUAUAUGAUACAAAUCAUGUAAAAUAGAUUCGGCGCGGAAAAAGUUAACAUAGAAUAAAUAAGAAUAGAUAUUUACACUUCGUCAGAAAUCUCGUUGAUAAGUCGAAACUAGAGAAAGAGAAGAGAGAGAGGGAGGAAGAAGAGAGAGUUUGUGAAGCCCGAAUUUUCUUAUUCCCUCCGGUUUGAAACAGGAGUUGAAGCUACUCAACUAAUUAAUUGACGUCCCUAGCCUUUGUAGACGAGAUGUCAGGCACCAAAGACUGACGCCGCGAGGCUCGCGUUUGUAUCUGCUUUUGUGUUUACUCUGCCUUUGUCUUAUAGAUCAUACUCCCACUAUAAGCAUACACAACUUAGCUUGCAGGAACUGAAAACUAAUCUCACUGAUCUGUCCUUUCAAUAUCCCUCAUCUUAUGAUUUCACUAAAUUUUGAUAAAUUGCAUUUUUGAAACAGAUACAGAGAAAUACGUGUUAUGUGUUGGCUUUGUCACGAUUCUAAUAUCACGGACAAAAAGUUAUUUUUUCGUUGUGUAUAUUUUAGCUUAAAUUCAUUAAAAUUAUUUAAUUUUAUUAAAAUUAUGCCAAUUUCAAUGCUUGCCACGAGUUGUAUUUAAAAUUGAAUGUCUGUGUGUAACCAAAAUAAUUUUAAAACAAUUUAAAAAUAAUUCUAUAAUGUCUGUAUGUGUGCGCCAGAGAAAAUUUUGAGAUAUUAUUUAAAGCCAUACAGGAUAAAGUGAUGUAACUCAGUUAUACAGGCAAUUUGGUGAUAAUUGCAUUUACGACUAUGGGCGCAUGGUCUGUAAUCUAUUUAUUAUCGUCGUUUCAAAACUCAUCCUUCAACGUAAUAUAUAUUAUAUCAUCGAUAUUUUGAUGUUGAGCACAUUCGAUUCAUAAUGUUAGUGAAGUUAUAAUUCCAUCUCUUUUUUUCAUGAAAUAUAUAAAAUGAAGGAGAUAAAUAGAACAUGCGAAUAAUAUAAAAAUAACUUAGAGAAAAAAAACAGGGCUCGUAAACCUCGUAAGAUGUUGUGUGCGCUAACAGUUUUAAUGAAUAAUAUAAGCAAAGACAAUCACACAUCUAACAUACAGACCAUGAAUGUGGUCAUUUCCAAUGUAUUAAAAAUUACGAGAACAACUUCUUUUUUAGUUCGCUUGUUAUAAUUCAUUAUGGACGGAUUUUUUCCAUAUCGAUUUAAGCUAUUGUUGUUUACAUAAAAGCUUAAAUGUGUAGAUCUCUUUUACUGAAUAAGACAAAAAGAUUGUGUUGCAAGACGUAUGUACAGAUAAAGUUGACAUCGAGAAUGCUAUAAAUAAAUUAACGUGUAACUGAACAUUACAAAUUAGAAAUUAAAACUUACAGAAACUUUUUGUCUUCAGAUAAUAGUCGAACACCAAGACAGUUAAUUCAACCAGUCAUAAAAAUAUUCUGUAGUUGAAGUUUAAAUUUUAGACAAUUUUAAGUGAUAAAAGAUAUAUAUACAGAUGUCCUACUAUUAAAUUCUAUGUGCAGUUAUUACCUGAGAAACUAAAAAGUUUAUAUAUGUAACUCUACGAUUAAGUGAUACACAAUCUUUUAACAUGCGUGGUUAAGUGAAUGUCGAGAAUAUCGAAGUACUUGAUCUUUGUGAGCUGUGAAACUGUGUGGGGAUGAAAUAACUUUUGCUGAUUGGAUUGACAGGAGAUAAAUCAGUUUUAAGGAGUGGGGAGACGAUCUAAGAUGGAAAGAUAUGCAUCAGAAAGAGGUAUCGUGUUUAUUCAGUUCCUUCUUUUGUUUUUUUUUAUGUAAAUCAUUCUGGAUGUUAAUUUUUUCUAAUAAUAAGGUUCAAUUAACACCUGAACUUUGUUCCAAUUUAUAUUGUGAUCCUCUUCCAUACAAUGACUCACGAGAACACUUGAGAAUAUAUAUAUUUUUUUACAUUU